AAAGUGAUUCAUCCUGGUUUGAUUGGAACGACGAAGAAGCUGUCAAAUUCCCAAACUGGGAAACAUGAAGCACCUGAUUUGAAAGUGUGAUAACUUCUUCAUCCCAACUCCUAUGAGAUUUAUUCAACUUCCUGGUGAUUAUCCACCACUUUAUGAAUCCAAAUAAUGCUUCUCACAAAGUGAUUCAUCCUGGUUUGAUUGGAACGACGAAGAAGCUGUGCUAUUCCCAAACUGGGAAACUGGAAUCACCUGAUUUGAAAGUGAGAUAACUUCUUCUUGCCAACUCCUAUGAGAUUUAUUCAACUUCCUGGUGAUUCUCCACCACUUUAUGUAUCCAAAUCAAGCUUCUCACAAAGUGAUUCAUCCUGGUUUGAUUGGAACGACGAAGAAGCUGUGCUAUUCCCAAACAAGGAAACUGGAAUCACCUUAUUUGAAAGUGGGAUAACUUCUUCAUCCCAACUCCUAUGAGAUUUAUUCAACUUCCUGGUGAUUCUCCACCAUUUUAUGUAUCCAAAUCAAGCUUCUUACAAAGUGAUUCAUCCUGGUUUAAUUGGAACGACGAAGAAGCUGUGCUAUUCCCAAACUGGGAAACUGGAAUCACCUGAUUUGAAAGUGGGAUAACUUCUUCAUCCCAACUCCUAUGAGAGAAGCUGUGCUAUUCCCAAACUGGGAAACUGGAAUCACCUGAUUUGAAAGUGGGAUAACUUCUUCCUCCCAACUUCUAUGAGAUUUUUUCAACUUCCUGGUGAUUCUCCACCACUUUAUGUAUCCAAAUCAAGCUUCUCACGAAGAGAUUCAUCCUGGUUUGAUUGGAACGACGAAGAAGCUGUCAAAUUCUCAAACUUGGAAACUGGAAGCACCUGAUUUGAAAGUGGGAUAACUUCUUCAUCCCAACUCCUAUGAGAUUUAUUUAACUUCCUGGUGAUUCUCCACCACUUUGUGUAUCCAAAUCAAGCUUCUCACAAAGUGAUUCAUCCUGUUUUGAUUGGAACGACGAAGAAGCUGUGCUAUUCCCAAACUGGGAAACUGGAAUCACCUGAUUUGAGAG
rnacentral:lncRNA from 1 species